rnacentral:lncRNA from 1 species
UAUGUGGGUGGACCGAUACUUGGGUACUACCCUUAGUUAGACAAACCUCCCACUUAUGAUUAACCUCUCCUGCAAGCAUCCGCAACUACGAAAGAAGAAUUAAGAUAUAUCGAACAAUAGCAUGAAACAUAUGGGUCCAAAUCAGCCCCUUACGAAGCAACGCAUAAAUUAGGGUUUAAGCUUCUGUCACUCUAGCAACCCAUCAUCUACUUAUUACUUCCCAAUGCCUUCCCCUAGGCCCAAACAAUGGUGAAGUGUCAUGUAGUCGAUGUUCACAUAACACCACUAGGGGAGAGACAACAUACACCUCAUCAA